AGAGUUUGAUCAUGGCUCAGGACGAACGCUGGCGGCGUGCUUAACACAUGCAAGUCGAACGAAGAUACACAGAGGAAAUUUUCGGAUGGAAUCAGUGUAGACUGAGUGGCGGACGGGUGAGUAACGCGUGAGCAACCUGCCUACAAGAGGGGGACAACAGUUGGAAACGACUGCUAAUACCGCAUAAGACCACAGUUUCACAUGGAACAGGGGUCAAAGAUUUAUCGCUUGUAGAUGGGCUCGCGUCCCAUUAGCUAGUUGGUAGGGUAAAGGCCUACCAAGGCGACGAUGGGUAGCCGACCUGAGAGGGUGAUCGGCCACACUGGAACUGAGACACGGUCCAGACUCCUACGGGAGGCAGCAGUGGGGAAUAUUGGGCAAUGGGCGCAAGCCUGACCCAGCAACGCCGCGUGAGUGAAGAAGGUCUUCGGAUUGUAAAACUCUGUCCUUGGGGACGAAGUAAGUGACGGUACCCAAGGAGGAAGCUCCGGCUAACUACGUGCCAGCAGCCGCGGUAAUACGUAGGGAGCAAGCGUUGUCCGGAAUUACUGGGCGUAAAGGGUGCGUAGGCGGUUUGAUAAGUCAGAUGUGAAAUAUCCGGGCUUAACCUGGAGGGUGCAUUUGAAACUGUCAGACUUGAGUGCAGGAGAGGAAAGCGGAAUUCCUAGUGUAGCGGUGAAAUGCGUAGAUAUUAGGAGGAACACCAGUGGCGAAGGCGGCUUUCUGGACUGUAACUGACGCUGAGGCACGAAAGCGUGGGGAGCAAACAGGUUAGAUACUCUGGUAGUCCACGCCGUAAACGAUGGAUACUAGGUGUAGGGGCCGAUAGGCUUCUGUGCCGCAGCAAACGCAAUAAGUAUCCCGCCUGGGGAGUACGACCGCAAGGUUGAAACUCAAAGGAAUUGACGGGGCCCGCACAAGCAGCGGAGCAUGUGGUUUAAUUCGAAGCAACGCGAAGAACCUUACCAAGGCUUGACAUCCUCUGACGGAUGUAGAGAUACAUCUUCCCUUCGGGGCAGAGAGACAGGUGGUGCAUGGUUGUCGUCAGCUCGUGUCGUGAGAUGUUGGGUUAAGUCCCGCAACGAGCGCAACCCUUAUCAUUAGUUGCCAGCGAGUAGAGUCGGGAACUCUAAUGAGACUGCCGGGGACAACUCGGAGGAAGGUGGGGACGACGUCAAAUCAUCAUGCCCCUUAUGUCUUGGGCUACACACGUGCUACAAUGGCCGGUACAAAGGACAGCGAAACCGUAAGGUCAAGCGAAUCUCAAAAAGCCGGUCCCAGUUCGGAUUGUGGGCUGCAACCCGCCCACAUGAAGUUGGAGUUGCUAGUAAUCGCGAAUCAGCAUGUCGCGGUGAAUGCGUUCCCGGGCCUUGUACACACCGCCCGUCACACCACGGAAGUUGGGGGCGCCCGAAGCCAGUGGCCUAACCGCAAGGAAGGAGCUGUCGAAGGCGAAAUCAAUGACUGGGGUGAAGUCGUAACAAGGUA
rnacentral:rRNA from 1 species